AAGACCUUGUGCUUUUGGAGCGGCCGAUGCCUGAUUAGCUUGUUGGUAAGGUAAAAGCUUACCAAGGCUUCGAUCAGUAGCUGGUCUGAGAGGACGACCAGCCACACUGGGACUGAGACACGGCCCAGACUCCUACGGGAGGCAGCAGUGGGGAAUUUUGGACAAUGGGGGCAACCCUGAUCCAGCCAUGCCGCGUGAGUGAAGAAGGCCUUCGGGUUGUAAAGCUCUUUCAGCCGGAACGAAACAGUUACGGAUAAUACCCGUGACUACUGACGGUACCGGAAGAAGAAGCACCGGCUAACUACGUGCCAGCAGCCGCGGUAAUACGUAGGGUGCAAGCGUUAAUCGGAAUUACUGGGCGUAAAGCGUGCGCAGGUGGUUUUGUAAGUCAGAUGUGAAAGCCCCGGGCUCAACCUGGGAACU
rnacentral:rRNA from 1 species